GCGGGUGUGGUUCAGUGGUAGAAUGCGGGCUUCCCAAGCCUGAGAUGAGGGUUCGAUUCCCUUCACCCGCUCCA
rnacentral:tRNA from 3 species